rnacentral:rRNA from 1 species
GGAAACAGGUGCUAAUACCGUAUAACAAUCAAAACCGCAUGGUUUUGAUUUGAAAGGCGCUUUCGGGUGUCGCUGAUGGAUGGACCCGCGGUGCAUUAGCUAGUUGGUGAGGUAACGGCUCACCAAGGCCACGAUGCAUAGCCGACCUGAGAGGGUGAUCGGCCACAUUGGGACUGAGACACGGCCCAAACUCCUACGGGAGGCAGCAGUAGGGAAUCUUCGGCAAUGGACGAAAGUCUGACCGAGCAACGCCGCGUGAGUGAAGAAGGUUUUCGGAUCGUAAAACUCUGUUGUUAGAGAAGAACAAGGAUGAGAGUAACUGUUCAUCCCUUGACGGUAUCUAACCAGAAAGCCACGGCUAACUACGUGCCAGCAGCCGCGGUAAUACGUAGGUGGCAAGCGUUGUCCGGAUUUAUUGGGCGUAAAGCGAGCGCAGGCGGUUUCUUAAGUCUGAUGUGAAAGCCCCCGGCUCAACCGGGGAGGGUCAUUGGAAACUGGGAGACUUGAGUGCAGAAGAGGAGAGUGGAAUUCCAUGUGUAGCGGUGAAAUGCGUAGAUAUAUGGAGGAACACCAGUGGCGAAGGCGGCUCUCUGGUCUGUAACUGACGCUGAGGCUCGAAAGCGUGGGGAGCAAACAGGAUUAGAUACCCUGGUAGUCCACGCCGUAAACGAUGAGUGCUAAGUGUUGGAGGGUUUCCGCCCUUCAGUGCUGCAGCUAACGCAUUAAGCACUCCGCCUGGGGGAGUACGACCGCAAGGUUGAAACUCAAAGGAAUUGACGGGGGCCCGCACAAGCGGUGGAGCAUGUGGUUUAAUUCGAAGCAACGCGAAGAACCUUACCAGGUCUUGACAUCCUUUGACCACUCUAGAGAUAGAGCUUCCCCUUCGGGGGCAAAGUGACAGGUGGUGCAUGGUUGUCGUCAGCUCGUGUCGUGAGAUGUUGGGUUAAGUCCCGCAACGAGCGCAACCCUUAUUGUUAGUUGCCAUCAUUCAGUUGGGCACUCUAGCAAGACUGCCGGUGACAAACCGGAGGAAGGUGGGGAUGACGUCAAAUCAUCAUGCCCCUUAUGACCUGGGCUACACACGUGCUACAAUGGGAAGUACAACGAGUUGCGAAGUCGCGAGGCUAAGCUAAUCUCUUAAAGCUUCUCUCAGUUCGGAUUGCAGGCUGCAACUCGCCUGCAUGAAGCCGGAAUCGGUAGUAAUCGCGGAUCAG